rnacentral:rRNA from 1 species
AGUGAACGCUGGCGGUAGGCCUAACACAUGCAAGUCGAACGGCAGCACAGUAAGAGCUUGCUCUUACGGGUGGCGAGUGGCGGACGGGUGAGGAAUACAUCGGAAUCUACUUUUUCGUGGGGGAUAACGUAGGGAAACUUACGCUAAUACCGCAUACGACCUACGGGUGAAAGCAGGGGAUCUUCGGACCUUGCGCGAUUGAAUGAGCCGAUGUCGGAUUAGCUAGUUGGCGGGGUAAAGGCCCACCAAGGCGACGAUCCGUAGCUGGUCUGAGAGGAUGAUCAGCCACACGGGAACUGAGACACGGUCCAGACUCCUACGGGAGGCAGCAGUGGGGAAUACUGGACAAUGGGCGCAAGCCUGAUCCAGCCAUACCGCGUGGGUGAAGAAGGCCUUCGGGUUGUAAAGCCCUUUUGUUGGGAAAGAAAAGCAGCAGGUUAAUACCCCGCUGUUCUGACGGUACCCAAAGAAUAAGCACCGGCUAACUUCGUG